rnacentral:rRNA from 1 species
AAUGAACGCUAGCGGCAUGCUUUACACAUGCAAGUCGAACGAGUGGCGGACGGGUGAGUAAUGUCUGGGAACGUGCCUGAUGGAGGGGGAUAACUACUGGAAACGGUCGCUAAUACCGCAUACCAUCGGAUGUGCCCAGAUGGGAUUAGCUAGUUGGGGGGGUAACGGCUCACCUAGGCGACGAUCCCUAGCUGGUCUGAGAGGAUGACCAGCCACACUGGAACUGAGACACGGUCCAGACGCCUACGGGAGGCAGCAGUGAGGAAUAUUGCACAAUGGGGGCAAUCCUGAUGCAGCCAUCCCGCGUGUAUGAUGAAGGCCUUCGGGUUGUAAAGUACUGUCAGCGGAGAAGCGGUACCUGCAGAAGAAGCACCGGCUAACUCCGUGCCAGCAGCCGCGGUAAUUC